CGUGCAGGCGGCUUAUCAGGUCCGAUGUGAAAGCCCCGGGCUCAACCCGGGAAGCGCAUUGGAAACCGGCAGGCUUGAAUACGGGAGAGGGCAGUGGAAUUCCUGGUGUAGGGGUGAAAUCCGCAGAUAUCAGGAAGAACACCUGUGGCGAAGGCGGCUGCCUGGACCGAUAUUGACGCUGAGACGCGAAAGCGUGGGGAGCAAACAGGAUUAGAUACCCUGGUAGUCCACGCCGUAAACGAUGAGUACUAGGUGUUGCGGGUAUUGACCCCUGCAGUGCCGCAGCUAACGCAUUAAGUACUCCGCCUGGGAAGUACGGCCGCAAGGCUAAA
rnacentral:rRNA from 1 species